rnacentral:rRNA from 1 species
AUCCAGACUCCUACGGGAGGCAGCAGUGAGGAAUAUUGGUCAAUGGGCGGAAGCCUGAACCAGCCAAGUCGCGUGAGGGAAUAAGGCCCUACGGGUCGUAAACCUCUUUUGCCGGGGAGCAAGGGCGGGGACGUGUCCCGGCCCGGAGAGUACCCGGAGAAAAAGCAUCGGCUAACUCCGUGCCAGCAGCCGCGGUAAUACGGAGGAUGCGAGCGUUAUCCGGAUUUAUUGGGUUUAAAGGGUGCGUAGGCGGGCUUUUAAGUCAGCGGUAAAAAUUCGGGGCUCAACCCCGUCCGGCCGUUGAAACUGGCGUUCUUGAGUGGAAGAGAAGUAUGCGGAAUGCGUGGUGUAGCGGUGAAAUGCAUAGAUAUCACGCAGAACCCCGAUUGCGAAGGCAGCAUGCCGGCUUCCGACUGACGCUGAAGCACGAAAGCGUGGGGAUCGAACGGGAUUAGAUACCCUAGUA